AUCAGAUCCAGUAGCGACAACUAUUCCUCUCCCAUGACCAUGACGAACGAGGGUACCCAUAAAAGCUAUGUUAUUUCUUUCAGUAAGAGAUAUGUUUGAAGAUAUAGCUUCGCUACUCUUCUUUCGUGGCGAGUUUUCCCCUGUUAGAUUUGAUUCAUCAAUUUCCAACUCGGUAGCUUCAACGAUUCGCAGAUCAGCAGGAACACGAUCACCAAUUUGUAAGAUAACUAAAUCUCCAGGAACCAAUUUACUAGCAACAAUAUGCUCCGUUUUUCCGGACCGGAUAACAUUGCAAUAAUGAGGUACAAGGUUAUUCAGCGCCUUUAAAGAUUGCUCAGAUCGAUACUCUUGAACAAAUCCAACAGUCACGACAAUAACUAUAGCUAAAGCGAUGCUAAUAGCAUCAUCUAUAUUACCCAAUGUCACCGAAAUUGCAGAACUUGCAAAAAGCAAAAGAAUUAGGGGAUCUUUAACAAAUUGCUUAAGAAAUUGAACCACCAUGUUUUCUUCAUCUUCUACCUUCAAAUCAUUAUCUCCAUGAACCUUGUUACGUCGCGUGAUCUCCUGGAGACUAGAGAGGCCAUUAUACAUGUCAGUUUCUAAAUCCGCACAAGUUUGCUCAACACUGAAUGCAUCAUAUUGAACACUCAUUAUGGAACUGUUUCAUACAAAAACAAAAACGAGAAAA